rnacentral:lncRNA from 1 species
UAUAUAUAUAAACUUAUUUGCAGCGUCUCCAUCGCCAUCCCUUCUGGUCCUUCUUCCAUGAGGAAGCAAAGCGCAAACCUGGACCGAGAAGAUGGUCUGGACACCGUCCCCUGAAGUCCCAAUCUCUUCCGGAGGCGACUCUAGAAGCCACAAAUCUCUGUACACCAACAUGAAGGCGUGGAUGCGAUCCCAUGUAGACCGUCCUGCACCCUCUUCUCUCGGCCGAUCGAGGAGCCGAGCUCCUCCAGCUCAUGCUCGGCGUCAUCGGUGCGCCCCUUGUCCCGCUUCCCGUCCAGGCCCAGAAGGCCAGAAAUCCAUCAUCAGCCACCACAUCAAAGAGGAGGACCCUAUUGUAAGACUUGUUUCGUUGUGUUAACGUUUAUCAAACAGUACUAAAAGCGGCAAUUCUUGAUGUUAACAUGUAGAUGGGAGAAGCUAUUCAAGCUUGAUGUCAAACAUGAUUAAUAUAAAUUAACAUCGAAUAAUCUCGCUUUUCAAGCGCCUAAAUGGCAACGUGAGCUCGCGCAGGUCUACAGGAUUAGCUGCGCGAGAUAAAAUAUAAUGGUUAUAUUUGAAAAGAAAAUAAAAUAAAAAACCAGAUAAACUAAAAAGGGUUUGGCAGGAACAAACUUGGGACUGCCAUGGCAUCGCCUUCGGCGCCUAUACUUGGGAGAGACAUGGGAGAGGCAUCCUUGUAGCUCGUCAUGGAAGAGGCAUCCUGGUUGCCCGUCAUGGGAGAGGCAUCCUGGUAGCCCGUCAUGGAAGAGGCAUCCUGGUUGCCCGUCAUGGGCGAGGCAUCCUGGUUG